rnacentral:rRNA from 1 species
AACGAACGCUGGCGGCAUGCCUAACACAUGCAAGUCGAACGAGACCUUCGGGUCUAGUGGCGCACGGGUGCGUAACGCGUGGGAACCUGCCCUUAGGUUCGGAAUAACUCCCCGAAAGGGGUGCUAAUACCGGAUAAUGUCUUCGGACCAAAGAUUUAUCGCCUUUGGAUGGGCCCGCGUUGGAUUAGCUAGUUGGUAGGGUAAAAGCCUACCAAGGCGACGAUCCAUAGCUGGUCUGAGAGGAUGAUCAGCCACACUGGGACUGAGACACGGCCCAGACUCCUACGGGAGGCAGGAGUGGGGAAUAUUGGAAAAUGGGCGAAAGCCUGAUCCAGCCAUGCCGCGGGAGUGAUGAAGGCCUUAGGGUUGUAAAGCUCUUUUACCCGGGAUGAUAAUGACAGUACCGGGAGAAUAAGCUCCGGCUAACUCCGUG